UGACGUGGAUGGGAGGCUUUCUUGGGUACCUCUUGCAAAUGAGGAAGAAGAAGAUUCGAGUCACAAAGAAGAAGCUUAUGACAACCGCCAAGAGGAAGCAAACAUGAAGUUUAGUUUUUUUGUGGUAGAAGAAAAUCCGAGAUUUAGUUUUUUUUUGGGGGGUUGUUAAAGGAGACACUCUAUACAGGGGAGAUGAAUUUGUACAAUGGCAAAGAGACAGAUCUAGUUUUUUUUUUUUUUGGGUGGGGGGGUUUUAAAGGAGACACUCUAUACAGGGGAGAUGAAUUUGUACAAUGGCAAAGAGAUCGAUGAUGAAUGCUAUGGUGAUAAGGAGGCUUCUUGGCACUUCUUGCAAAAGUGGAAGAAGAUCCGAGUCACCAAGAAGAAGGUUGUGAUGACUACCAAGACUAAGCGACAUUGAAGGAGUUGCUUUUCCUCAGGUAUUCAUCAUACGUUGAGUCUGGUUCUUCUAAUUCAUUUGGUAUGUUUUUUAAGGAGCUUUUAAUGGGAAAACUAAAAGCUUCAUAUUGUUAUUUCUUUUGUGACCAAAAUAAUGAAAACAAGAUAUUACACUUUGAUAA